rnacentral:rRNA from 1 species
CAGCCGCCGCGGGAAUACGUAGGGGGCAAGCGUUGUCCGGAAUUAUUGGGCGUAAAGCGCGUGUAGGCGGCUCAGCAAGUCCGCUCUGAAAGCCCAGGGCUCAACCCUGGGAUGCGGGUGGAUACUGCUGAGCUCGAGUCCGGAAGAGGCGAGUGGAAUUCCUGGUGUAGCGGUGAAAUGCGCAGAUAUCAGGAGGAACACCAAUGGCGAAGGCAGCUCACUGGGACGUGACUGACGCUGAGACGCGAAAGCGUGGGGAGCAAACAGGAUUAGAUACCCCCGUAGUCCCUGUCUCUUAUAA